GACGAACGCUGGCGGCGUGCUUAACACAUGCAAGUCGAACGAGUGGCGAACGGGUGAGUAAUACGUGAGUAACCUGCCUUAGACAUUGGGAUAGCCUCGGGAACCCGGGAUUAAUACCAAAUAGUCUAAGAUGGACUCGCGUCCCAUUAGAUAGUUGGUGAGGUAACGGCCACCAAGGCGCGAAGGGUAGCCGGCCUUAGAGGGUGAACGGCCACAUGGGAACUGAGCAACAGUCCAAACUCCUGCGGGAGGCAGCAGUGGGGAAUAUUGCACAAUGGAGGAAACCCUGAUUCAGCAACGCCGCGUGCGGGAUGACGGCCUUCGGGUUGUAAACCGCUUUCAGCCAUGACGCGGUAGUGGCAGAAGAAGCACCGGCUAACUACGUGCCAGCAGCCGCGGUAAUAC
rnacentral:rRNA from 1 species